AUACGGAAGGCAGCAGUCAGGAAUAUUGGGCAAUGGGCGAAAGCCUGACCCAGCAACGCCGCGUGAAGGAUGAAGGCCUUCGGGUCGUAAACUUCUGUCGAGAGGGAAGAAUGCGUACGGGCGAAUAAUCCGUGCGUUUGACGGUACCUCCAAAGGAAGCACCGGCUAACUCCGUGCCAGCAGCCGCGGUAAUACGGAGGGUGCAAGCGUUGUUCGGAUUCAUUGGGCGUAAAGCGAGUGUAGGCGGUUUGACAAGCCGGAUGUGAAAUCCCGGGGCCCAACCCCGGAACUGCAUCCGAUACUGUCUGGCUAGAGUCCCGGAGAGGGUGGCGGAAUUCCCGGUGUAGGGGUGAAAUCCGUAGAUAUCGGGAGGAACACCAGUGGCGAAGGCGGCCACCUGGACGGUGACUGACGCUGAGACUCGAAAGCGUGGGUAGCAAACAGGAUUAGAUACCCCGGUAGUCC
rnacentral:rRNA from 1 species